rnacentral:miRNA from 1 species
UUGGUGGACAAGAUCUGGGAU